rnacentral:rRNA from 1 species
UACGAAGGGGGCUAGCGUUGUUCGGAAUUACUGGGCGUAAAGCGUGCGCAGGCGGCUUCUCAAGUCAGGGGUGAAAGCCCAGAGCUCAACUCUGGAAUUGCCUUUGAGACUGAGUGGCUUGAGGACGGUAGAGGGGGUGGAAUUCCCGGUGUAGUGGUGAAAUGCGUAGAGAUCGGGAGGAACACCGGUGGUGUAGACGGCUUACUGGACCACGACUGACACUGAGGCACGAAAGCGUGGGUAGCAAACAGG